CGCUGUGGAUGUCGGCUCCAAGUCAGUGAAUGUCCCCGAGCACUGACGUGCGUGCAGUCAGACGACAAACAUCAAUUUUCCUUUCUGAUGUCGUCUGGCUUUUAGUCAAGCCAGAUAUUCUGGCGGUGAAGACUGUCACAUUCGUAACUGUAUCAGGGAGAGAGAAAACGGAGGCAAUAUGGAAAUCAGACAGCCUGGCAGACCUGAGGAGGCUGAUGAGACUGGAUAAGCGCUGGAACGAUGUUCAACAAUGCUGCCCUACAAUGAGAAUAGAGACGCGGGUGUGGCCAUGCAGUAGACGCCCUAGUCUCCAUUUAAAAAAAAAACUAAAAAAAAUCCAAAAGCAACCGCUGCGUCAGAAAAAUAGGAAAACAAGAAAGAAAAAUAAACCACUUUGUCAUGUGUUUCAAA
rnacentral:lncRNA from 1 species